CGGGAAAAGCUCAAAUUUAAAAUCUGGCAGUCUUUGGCUGUCCGAGUUGUAAUUUAGAGAAGUGUUACCCGUGCUGGACUAUGUAAAAGUCUUCUGGAAUGAAGCAUCAUGGAGGGUGAGAAUCCCGUCU
rnacentral:rRNA from 1 species